GAUGAACGCUGGCGGCGUGCCUAAUACAUGCAAGUCGAGCGAACAGACGAGGAGCUUGCUCCUUUGACGUUAGCGGCGGACGGGUGAGUAACACGUAGGUAACCUACCUAUAAGACUGGGAUAACUUCGGGAAACCGGAGCUAAUACCGGAUAAUAUUUCGAACCGCAUGGUUCGAUAGUGAAAGAUGGCUUUUCUAUCACUUAUAGAUGGACCUGCGCCGUAUUAGCUAGUUGGUAAGGUAACGGCUUACCAAGGCAACGAUACGUAGCCGACCUGAGAGGGUGAUCGGCCACACUGGAACUGAGACACGGUCCAGACUCCUACGGGAGGCAGCAGUAGGGAAUCUUCCGCAAUGGGCGAAAGCCUGACGGAGCAACGCCGCGUGAGUGAUGAAGGUCUUCUGAUCGUAAAACUCUGUUAUUAGGGAAGAACAAACGUGUAAGUAACUGUGCACGUCUUGACGGUACCUAAUCAGAAAGCCACGGCUAACUACGUG
rnacentral:rRNA from 1 species